GACGAACGCUGGCGGCGUGCCUAAUACAUGCAAGUUGAGCGCUGAAGGCUGGUACUUGUACCCACUGGGUGAGCAGCGAACGGGUGAGUAACGCGUGGGGAAUCUGCCUUUGAGCGGGGGACAACAUUUGGGAACGAAUGCUAAUACCGCAUAAAAACUUUAAACACAAGUUUUAAGUUUGAAAGAUGCAAUUGCAUCACUCAAAGAUGAUCCCGCGUUGUAUUAGCUAGUUGGUGAGGUAAAGGCUCACCAAGGCGAUGAUACAUAGCCGACCUGAGAGGGUGCUCGGCCACAUUGGGACUGGGACACGGACCAAACUCCUACGGGAGGCAGCAGUAGGGAAUUUUCGGCAAUGGACGAAAGUCUGACCGAGCAACGCCGCGUGAGUGAAGAAGAUUUUCGGAUCGUAAAACUCUGUUGGUAGAGAAGAACGUUGGUGAGAGUGGAAAGCUCAUCAAGUGACGGUACCUACCCAGAAAGGGACGGCUAACUACGUG
rnacentral:rRNA from 1 species